UUCUGGCUCAGAACGAACGCUGGUGGCGUGUCUUAUACAUGCAAGUCGAGCGAGGCAGCAAUGCCGAGCGGCGAACGGGUGAGUAACGCGUAAGCAAUCUGCCCCAUAUCAGGAAAUACCCGUGCCAACGCGCGGUUAAUGUCCAGGAGAGUGGCCCUCCGCAUGGAGGGUUGACUAGAGAUUUAUCGGUAUGGGAUGAGCUUGCGUCCGAUUAGCUAGUUGGCGGGGCAACGGCCCACCAAGGCGACGAUCGGUAGCCGGCCUGAGAGGGUGAUCGGCCACAUUGGGACUGAGAUACGGCCCAGACUCCUACGGGAGGCAGCAGUAGGGAAUAUUGCACAAUGGGGGAAACCCUGAUGCAGCAACGCCACGUGUGGGAAGAAGCAUUUCGGUGUGUAAACCACUGUCAUGAGGGAAUAAGGCCCGCCUUCGGACGGGAUUGAAUGUACCUUGAGAGGAAGCACCGGCAAACUUCGUGCCAGCCGCCGC
rnacentral:rRNA from 1 species